rnacentral:tRNA from 1 species
GCCAGCAUGGUAUAGUGGUUUAAACAUUGGAUUACAGCUCUGGAGACCAGAGUUCAAAUCCCUGCUCAGCCA